GGGGACGCUCUGGGUUCGACGGUGAAGGAUCGUUCAUGAAGCUGCAUACCGUGGAUUUCGGCAGCCACGCUAAAAAGUCGAAACCUAAAUGUAAUUGCAGAUUACGAUUACGCACUGGCUGCCUAAUUAAGGCAACCCGCUGCUGAUUUUGAGACUCGCAUAGAGAUCAGACAGCGCCGAUUUUGCGAGUGCGCAGCCAACUUUGUCUGGAGGUUGGUUGUUAAGUUUUUCAGGCUGGUUCGUGGCAGUUCUGUUUUUUGUACUUCCACGGACGAGAUUUAAACGAAAAACUAAGUAUGUAGAUGCUUCAUCGGACACUUUUCCGGACGCGGGUUCGAUUCCCGCCGUCUCCACA
rnacentral:tmRNA from 1 species